rnacentral:rRNA from 1 species
UGGGGAAUAUUGCGCAAUGGGGGGAACCCUGACGCAGCCAUGCCGCGUGAAUGAAGAAGGCCUUAGGGUUGUAAAGUUCUUUCGGUAUUGAGGAAGGUUGAUGUGUUAAUAGCACAUCAAAUUGACGUUAAAUACAGAAGAAGCACCGGCUAACUCCGUGCCAGCAGCCGCGGUAAUACGGAGGGUGCGAGCGUUAAUCGGAAUAACUGGGCGUAAAGGGCACGCAGGCGGUUAUUUAAGUGAGGUGUGAAAGCCUCGGGCUUAACCUGGGAAUUGCAUUUCAGACUGGGUAACUAGAGUACUUUAGGGAGGGGUAGAAUUCCACAUGUAGCGGUGAAAUGCGUAGAGAUGUGGAGGAAUACCGAAGGCGAAGGCAGCCCCUUGGGAAUGUACUGACGCUCAUGUGCGAAAGCGUGGGGAGCAAACAGGAUUAGAUACCCUGGUAGUCCACGCUGUAAACGCUGUCGAUUUGGGGGUUGGGGUUUAACUCUGGCGCCCGUAGCUAACGUGAUAAAUCGACCGCCUGGGGAGUACGGCCGCAAGGUUA